UGGUAGAUCUGAAGGAAGUAGACAGACUUCAGCUGGAGCUAUCUUCUGAGACGAUCAUGAAAGAGAUCCUUAUUAGCCCACUGAGGACAAUCAGGCCCUUCCAUUUGAAAUUGCAUCCAAAUGAGCAAAGGUGCACAAAUGUGGUGUUUGGACUAAUUACAGUCGCUGGGCUUCUUGCUGUGAUAAUAAUUCACCUCAUGAAAUCCUCCACUGCAAUCUUUUCAAGGGAUGAAGAUGGGGUUCUUGGCACUUACCUGUUUGAUAAUGAUGACCAAAACACUGCAAGAGACAGAACGGCAGAGACAGGCAGCAGCCCUAGAUGUAACGACUCAUGCAAUUUUCAGCUGGUGGAAAGCCUUCCUUGGGACAUGCCGUAUGGGCCAAACAGCACUGCUGCAAAGCCCUUAUACCAAGCAUGGAUGGAGUUGUUAAAUAUGACCCAGGAAAGUAUCCACAUGGCUUCAUAUUACUGGACUCUGACUGGAGAAGACCUUGGUGUAAAUGAUACAUCAUCUAAGCAGGGUGAAGAUGUUCUCCAGAAAUUUGAAAGUCUGCUCCUGAAGAACCUCUCAGUGUUUAUUGCAACAAGUGUGCCAUCAAAGACUAAAAAUUCAACUGAUCUUGAGGUCCUGAAGCGAAAAGGGGCUCAUGUAAAAAAGAUUAAUUUUGGACAGCUGACCCAUGGGGUCCUGCACACCAAAUUCUGGAUUGUAGACAGAAAACACAUCUUCCUCGGGAGUGCUAAUGUAGACUGGAGGGCUCUGACUCAGGUGAAAGAAGUCGGGGUUUUGAUCAGCAAUUGCAGUUGCUUAGCGAAUGAUCUCUGGAAAACCUUCAAAACAUAUUGGGAUCUUGGGGAACCAAACGCCACUAUCCCAUCUCCAUGGCCAAGCAAUUAUUCUACUAAUAUCAACAGUCACAGUCCUUUGGAAGUGCAGUUCAAUGGAACCACCACCAAAGCUUAUUUUUCCGCUUCUCCUUCUUCAUUUUGUCCAGGGGGUCGCACCUCCGACCUUGAAGCAGUUCUCGAUGUUAUCUAUGAUGCAGAAGAAUUUGUGUACGUUUCUAUUAUGGAGUAUUUCCCUACAAGUCGCUUCAGACACCCACCAAGAUACUGGCCACCCAUCGACAAUGCUCUUAGAAGAGUGGCAUUAGAACACAGUAUACGCAUACGGCUUUUGGUCAACUGCUGGAUCCAUACCGAUUCUUCCAUGUUUCGUUACUUGAAGUCACUGAGUGUCCUUAAUGAUCCACAUGCCAACAUCACAGUAGAAGUGAAAAUAUUCACUGUUCCAGUUGGAAAUCACACAAACAUCCCUUUUGCAAGGCUGAAUCACAGCAAAUAUAUGGUAACUGACAAGGCAGCCUACAUUGGGACUUCUAACUGGUCAGAAGAAUACUUCAGCAUCACUGCGGGUGUGGGACUGAUUGCCAAGCAGUCUUCAGCAGAUCCCACAAAGAGAAUCCCAACAAUACAGGAAGAACUGAGGUCUCUUUUUGAACGAGACUGGAAUUCCAAAUAUUCAGUAACAAUGGCAGAAGGACUGUGCUUGGGAAGAUAGAUUUAAAAGUUUAAAGGAAAGCUAAAUUAGUUUUGUUGCUAACAGGAAUUCAGUUAUAAGCUUUCUCCAUGUCAAAUUUAGGAUCUUCAUCAUGCAUUUGCCAUUUGUAAUGAAUUCUUUAGUGCAGGAUAUCUCAAACUUUGAUCAUAAGGGAGUCUGGUUCACAAAUUACUUUUUUAUACAUAGAAUCUUAGAAUUAGAUCUUAGAUGUCAUUCAGCCCAAUCUUCUGCUCAGUGCAGGAUUUACAAUGCAGGAUGCAACUACAGCAUCCUUGACAGGGGCUGUUAAGCCUCUGCUUAAAUACAUCUAGUGAAGAAUUAGCCUGUCACCUUCCAAGCCUGUUCCUAACAGUAAGAGCUGUUUGACAGUGGAAAUUUUGCCUAAAGUUUAGCUGAAAUCUGCUUCCCUACAUUUAAGGACAUAAGAGGCUGCUGGAUCAGGCCAAUGGCCCAUCUAGUCCAGCAUCCUGUUCUUACAGUGGCCAACCAGAUGCCUAUGGGAAACCUGCAAGCAGGACUUGAGUACUAGGGCAUUGUCCCCUCCUGCCGUUUCCAGCAACUUGUAUUCAGAAGUGUACUGCCUCCAGUUAUGGAGGGAGAGCAUAGCCAUCAUGGCUAGUAGCAUUUAAUAGCCUUAUCCUCCAUGAAUUUGUCUAAUCCUCUUUUAAAGCCAUCCAAGUUGGUGGCCAUCACUGCCUCCUCUGGGUGUGAGUUCCACAGCUUAACUAUGCACUGUGUGAAAAAGUCCUUUCUUUUAUCAGUUGAAUGUUCCAGAAUCCAUCUUCAUUGGAUGUCCAUGAGUUCUAGUGCUAUGACACAGAAAAGCUUUCCUCUCCCCACUUUCUCUAUGCCAUGCAUAAUUUUAUAAGCUUCUAUCAUGUCACCUUCUUCUUCUUUUCUCUAAACUAAAAAGCCCCAAAUGCUGCAACCUUUCCUCAUAGGGAGUCACUCCAUCCCCUUGAUCAUUUGGCUUGCCCGUUUUUGAACCUUUUCCAACUCUACAAUAUCCUUUUGAGGUGAGGCAACCAGAACUGUGCACACUAUUCCAAGUACGGUCACACCAUAGAUUUGUAUAACUGCAUUAUGAUAUCGGCAGUUUUAUUUUCAAUACCUUUGCUAAUGAUGUCUAGCAUGGAAUUUGCCUUUUUCACGGCUGCCUCACACUGGGUCAACAUUUUAAUCGAGCGAUCCACUAUGACCCCAAGGUCUUGUUCCUGGUCAGUCACCACCACUUCAGACCCCAUAAGCAUAUACGUGAAAUUAAUAUUUCCCCCCCGACAUGCAUCCUUAUAUCCAUUGGUUCUUGUCCUACCACAUAGAGCACAGAGAACAAGUCUGCGGCAUCUUCUGCAUGACAGCCCUUCAGAUAUUUGAAGACGACUAUCAUCAGAUGUGGAACCCAGGCUAACAAGCAAGU